UAAAUGUUGAGUUGGCAUGUUAGACUCGAGGAUCGAACAUUCCCAUAUUUACGGUAAUUGUGUUCCCGUUGUGUAACAACGCAUGGAGAAAGCGCGGUAUUUUAGUCACUUCAUGCUGCAAGGCAAGAUGGCCAGUCCUGAACUAGCCCUUGUCAUAGAGCGAGCUGUUGCAGCUGGCGUUAGGGCGGCCCUCCAAGACCGACCGACGCCUACACCAGGAACAAGUCUCGUCGCAACAGACACCACAUCAUUGCCGUCGGUAUCAGCAGUGAUUUCAUCACCAAGUACAGCGACCACAUCACAGAGAUCGGUACCUCUUCCAUCUUUUCCCCAACGAAGUGGUGCAAGACCGGGGUUAAUAAGACGAAGACCUUACAAAACAUUCACAAAGGACAUUGUGUGUUUGCCUUGGUCGACAAACACAAUCUUCUCCAUACCAAGAGGAGACACCAGAACGAAAUUAGCGGAAGAUGGCCUCAUUGGCAAAAUAUCAUUUUCAUCCGAGUGGUCUGAAGUCCAAUUAAAAUUGGAAAUAACAGCCAUCUUUAGAGCCACGUUCGGAUUGUCGGAGAACCAGGAAUUCCCAUUUGAAUAUUUAUGCACCAUAAAGGGAUGUAAAAAACUGAUGAAACCCAAGGUCACCAACUCUUUUCCAUGGGGAGGAAAAGAAGUUGCGUCCAUCUGCUCAAACACAUGCCUGUACAUUUUAGCAGGAAUGCAGAGACCUGCCGAGGAGGAAUUUAUAGCAGUGUCUGAUGACAGUGACUUUGAAGAUCCUGCACCACGGAGAAGGAGAGCCCUGUGGAUUAUGAGGAAGAUGAAGCUGUGGAUGAGGCCAUAAGACGCAGUCUUUUGGAAGAGUCGGUCUUGCUUGAUUCAAGGUCUUCAGAAGUUUUGACCAGAGAAGAGAUAACUGGAAUUCUGAAAGCACAUGCCGAAAUGGUUGUUACCCCAACGCCGAGACCAAUCUUCAUAAGCCGGAGUAAUGUUUGGACCACUGCCUUUCGGCAAUUCAACAGACCCAGAUUUUCAGAGAGCUCUGGAAUGCUUUAUGUCACGUUUGCAAGUGAUGAAAUGGAGGAAGAUGCUGAAGAUUUGGGAGGGCCACGACGAGAGUUCUUUCGUUUGCUUGUGAGGGCUAUCUUCCAAGGCAGUGGAGCAUUUGAAGAGUCUCCCAACGGGUUUACUCCAAAGCUGAACAUAGCUCAUGUGCAAAACGGAGUGUACAGAACCAUUGGAAAGAUGAUGUCUACCAUAAUAGUCCAAGGUGGUGAACCACCAGCAUUCCUUGCACCACAUGUAGUGGACUACAUUGUGACUGAAGAUAUCCUGCAAGUACGUGUCACUCCUGAUGACAUAGCUGACGCGGAGUUAAGGGAUUC